AGCAGCCGCGGUAAUUCCAGCUCCAAUAGCGUAUAUUAAAGUUGUUGCAGUUAAAAGCUCGUAGUUGAAUUUCGGGAUCAAUAUGUUGGUCGUGCCUUGGUACGUACUGGCGUCAUUGAUUUCUACCUUCUGAAGAACCUCGAUGUCAUUAAUUUGGUGUCUUGGGGAAUCAGGACUGUUACUUUGAAAAAAUUAGAGUGUUUAAAGCAAGCUCACGCUUGAAUACAUUAGCAUGGAAUAAUGAAAUAGGACGUUUUGAUUCUAUUUUGUUGGUUUCUAGGAUCGACGUAAUGAUUAAUAGGGAUAGUUGGGGGCAUUAGUAUUCAAUUGUCAGAGGUGAAAUUCUUGGAUUUAUUGAAGACUAACUACUGCGAAAGCAUUUGCCAAGGAUGUUUUCAUUAAUCAAGAACGAAAGUUAGGGGAUCGAAGACGAUCAGAUACCGUCGUAGUCUUAACCAUAAACUAUGCCGACUAGGGAUCGGACGAUGUUAAUUUUUAAUGACUCAUUCGGCGUA
rnacentral:misc_RNA from 1 species